CCUACGGGUGGCUGCAGUGGGGGAUAUUGCACAAUGGGGGAAACCCUGAUGCAGCGACGCCGCGUGGAGGAAGAAGGUUUUCGGAUUGUAAACUCCUGUCGUUAGGGACGAUAAUGACGGUACCUAACAAGAAAGCACCGGCUAACUACGUGCCAGCAGCCGCGGUAAAACGUAGGGUGCAAGCGUUGUCCGGAAUUACUGGGUGUAAAGGGAGCGCAGGCGGACCGGCAAGUUGGAAGUGAAAACUAUGGGCUCAACCCAUAAAUUGCUUUCAAAACUGCUGGCCUUGAGUAGUGCAGAGGUAGGUGGAAUUCCCGGUGUAGCGGUGGAAUGCGUAGAUAUCGGGAGGAACACCAGUGGCGAAGGCGACCUACUGGGCACCAACUGACGCUGAGGCUCGAAAGCAUGGGUAGCAAACAGGAUUAGAUACCCCGGUAGUC
rnacentral:rRNA from 1 species